UACGUAGGGUGCAAGCGUUGUCCGGAAUUAUUGGGCGUAAAGAGCUCGUAGGCGGUCUGUCACGUCGGCUGUGAAAACCCGAGGCUCAACCUCGGGCCUGCAGUCGAUACGGGCAGACUAGAGUUCGGUAGGGGAGACUGGAAUUCCUGGUGUAGCGGUGAAAUGCGCAGAUAUCAGGAGGAACACCGGUGGCGAAGGCGGGUCUCUGGGCCGAAACUGACGCUGAGGAGCGAAAGCGUGGGGAGCGAACAGGAUUAGAUACCCUGGUAGUCCACGCCGUAAACGUUGGGCGCUAGGUGUGGGGGGUCUUCCACUCCCUCCGUGCCGCAGCAAACGCAUUAAGCGCCCCGCCUGGGGAGUACGGCCGCAAGGCUAAA
rnacentral:rRNA from 1 species